CGGGAUCUAGUUCCCUGACCAGGGAUCGAGUCCAGGCCACCUGCAUUGGGAGUGCGGAGCCUUAACCACUGCACCACGAGGGAAAUCCCCAAAAGCCCUCUAACUUGGCAGACUUUGCAAGUACAAGGCAGCUUCUGAAAUCUCUGUGAGCAAUUUCACCCCCUUCUGCUCCCUUCCACUAGAUUUCUUGGAGUUCCAGCCUACACUGAAGCUGUUCAGGAUUAAUUUCCAGCCGCUAUGAAAGCCAUGAACUCUGGGCUCUGUCUCCUGAAUUCAGUAUGACUGCUACCUUCCACUUAGGCUCUAUUCCCGGAAUUGGUAAGUACUGGAAAUUCCCCUUAGGAGAAAAGCUGGGUACAUAAUGGAGCUUGCCUAGCGUGUGUCCCUUUUUUUAAGGAUUAUAUUCUAUCCAGGUUUUGCACGCUUGGGUUGUUCUCCAUUGCUUUUGAAUAAUUUCCCUCAAGUUUUGUAACGGUUAUGUCAUCAGGAGGGUCACUCUGACAUAAAACUAUUUUGUCAGGGUGGGUCUGGCACACUUUCGUUUGGAUUUAAGUGUACAUUGCCCUCAGAAGAGUAAGA